AUGGUAAGUGGAGAAAGGACAGCGGAGGCCAGGGGAGCCUCAUUCCACCUAAGGCCUGAGCAGUUGGUGCCUGGACUCUGUUCCUUCCCCAGCUGCCUGGGUUUUGGGUACCAGGACCCACUGGCAGCUCCCCACGUCUUGACUUUCUCCCCAAUGCAGGGAACCACUCUCAUAUGCUCAUGCGACACUCGGAAGUUAACCCGCCUUUGGAACACAGCACUCUGUGUAGGGAGUGGCUGCACAAGUGAAUGGGUUCCAGGCAUGCAGAUGAGCUGAUAUGAACCAGACAGGUGCCCCUCGGGCAUCCACAUCUCCCGAGACAGGUGCUGGGGCCUCAUGUCCUUGGUACUGGCAGAGCUGAGGUCUCUGGAGUCUCACAGCCCUGAACCAGGCUCCUGGACCUCUGCUCUGUGACCUUGGACAUGUCAUAUCCUUCUGGGCCUGCCUCUGCUUUCUGGUGUGUGAAGCUGGGACUCCCUGUCUUCUCACUGUGGGGCUAAGAUUUUUCUGCCUGGGUGGCCCUGCCAUUGAAGAUUUGCAUGCAUGGGAUCUCUGCCCUGCUGAUUCAGAGGACUGAGUUCUCAAUAGAUGCUGCUGCAUCCUCUGUGUGUUACCAGUAGCCCUCAAGAUUUCUGUCUUUUCAUUCCUAUAAUGGGGGAGUAUAGAUACAAUCACCUCAUCAGGCUCUGUCCCCAGACACUAUCCCCAACUCUAGAGGUGGUAAGCUUUACAAGCUAAGUGCAACCAAAUUCAGAUUCCUCCCUGCCCCUGCCCCUGCCUCCUAAUGGAGGCACCCAGACAACACCCCCAAAAAAUGUGGAAUUUAGCUGGGUGUGGUGGCUCAGUCCUGUAAUCCCAAAACUUUGGGAGGCUGAGGAGGGCAGAUCACAAGGUCAGGGGUUUGAGACCAGCCUGACCAACAUAGUAAAACCCAGUCUCUACUUAAAAAUACAAAAAUUAGCUGGGCAUGGUGGUGCACAUCUGUAAUCCCAGCUACUUGGGAGGCUGAGGCAGGAGAAUUGCUUGAACCUGGGAGGUGGAGGUUGCAGUGAGCCGAGAGCAUGCCAUUGCCCUCCAGCCUGAGUGACAGAGUGAGACUUCACCUCAAAAAACUAAAAUUAAGAAAAAAGAAUGUGGAAUUUAGCUAAGAGAUCAGAAUCUUGGGGUACCCCAAGGAAGACUAAGAUUUCUCCAUAAUGGAGUGCACACAGCAAGCAGUAGCAGUGGGGAGACAGGAGAGAAGGAGGAAGGCAGAACUCUGCCACCUUUGUCCUCG
rnacentral:lncRNA from 13 species